rnacentral:rRNA from 1 species
UCUCCUGGAAACGGGUGGUAAUACCGGAUGCUCCGCUCCAUCGCAUGGUGGGGUGGGAAAUGCUUUUGCGGCAUGGGAUGGGGUCGCGUCCUAUCAGCUUGUUGGCGGGGUGAUGGCCCACCAAGGCGUUGACGGGUAGCCGGCCUGAGAGGGUGACCGGCCACAUUGGGACUGAGAUACGGCCCAGACUCCUACGGGAGGCAGCAGUGGGGAAUAUUGCACAAUGGGCGCAAGCCUGAUGCAGCGACGCCGCGUGCGGGAUGGAGGCCUUCGGGUUGUAAACCGCUUUUGUUCAAGGGCAAGGCACGGUUUCGGCCGUGUUGAGUGGAUUGUUCGAAUAAGCACCGGCUAACUACGUGCCAGCAGCCGCGGUAAUACGUAGGGUGCGAGCGUUAUCCGGAUUUAUUGGGCGUAAAGGGCUCGUAGGCGGUUCGUCGCGUCCGGUGUGAAAGUCCAUCGCCUAACGGUGGAUCUGCGCCGGGUACGGGCGGGCUGGAGUGCGGUAGGGGAGACUGGAAUUCCCGGUGUAACGGUGGAAUGUGUAGAUAU